rnacentral:piRNA from 1 species
UGGGCCAAUUUCUGUCACUGCCCAGCUAGU